AACGCACAUUGCGCCCUGUGGUAUUCCACAGGGCAUGCCUGUUUGAGCGUCAUUUCUCCUUCAAACUUCUAGUUUGGAUUUGGGCUUGGGGAAGCUUUAUACCCAGCCUGAAAUAGUGGGUGAAACAUAUGUCUAUUAGGUUUUACACAAUGAGUUAGGUUCUGCCAGUUCGUUGAAUAAAAUCUAUGUGAAGAUGCUUCAAUAACAACCCAUUUUAUACCCCCCCAAAUUUGACCUCAAAUCAGGUAGGACUACCCGCUGAACUUAA
rnacentral:misc_RNA from 1 species